rnacentral:rRNA from 1 species
UUACCUAGGUUUGACAUCCGGAAGACCUUCCCGAAAAGGAAGGGUGCCCUUCGGGGAAUUCCGAGACAGGUGCUGCAUGGCUGUCGUCAGCUCGUGCCGUGAGGUGUUCGGGUUAAGUCCCGCAACGAGCGCAACCCCUAUUGCCAGUUGCUACCAGGUAAUGCUGGGCACUCUGGUGAGACUGCCCCGGUUAACGGGGAGGAAGGUGGGGACGACGUCAAGUCAUCAUGGCCCUUACGGCCUGGGCUACACACGUGCUACAAUGGUCGGUACAAAGGGUUGCCAAGCCGCGAGGUGGAGCUAAUCCCAUAAAACCGAUCGUAGUCCGGAUCGCAGUCUGCAACUCGACUGCGUGAAGUCGGAAUCGCUAGUAAUCGUGAAUCAGAAUGUCACGGUGAAUACGUUCCCGGGCCUU